ACGAACAAACCUUAUAUAUCGAGAAAGAUACAUUUUAAAAUUCGCGCAUCUCCGAGGACAGGGGUAAGCGCUAUAUCGAUUGACCGAGUGCGCAGGUCAAUCAAUAGAUCCGAAGAUUAUAAGAAGGGAUUCCUCUCGUUCUCCUCUCGACCUCCUUCGUUCCGAGGACUUGGAUGUGAACACUGGUGAAAAGGACUUCAGCUCAUAACACGUCCAUCCCAGUACAUCGACACAGCAUUGGAUUUGCAACAGUUCAAACUCCUGUCGUGGAGACAUUUCAACCUCGGAGGAAAUAAAUAGAUAAAUUCAUCGGUGAUUACGAGCCAUACGCGGUUGAUGUGACUUUAGAAGCUUUUUUAAAACACGAUUUUACCGAAGAUACGUUUGGUGAAACUACUUAUAUUUCAUCAGUAGGAACGGAAACGUUCUGAGGGCCCAAAUUUUCAAGAACCAAAUUUAUCUGUACAACUACCAUUGAAAAAUUUUGAAGAAGUGACUCUUCUUCAUGAUCAUAUAAGUGACAACGAGAAUUUUUCUGAAUUGAUAUCAUAUUUUUCAACAUUAGGAGGCCAUGAUGUAACUUCGAAAACAAACGCUAUUUUAAGGAAGAUUCUUACUAAUGAAGUGGCAUCUCACUAUAGCUUUCUUGGUAGAACAAACAAUAAGAAAGCAUUUUCAACAAUAAAUUUAAAUCGAGCAGUAAUUAGAGCAGUUCAAAUUGCAAUACCACAAACAUCAGAAGAUGAUGUAACUAUUUGCAUUAAAAACUGGUUAAAACAUUCGCCUCAACGUCUUUCAUUGCAAUUAAAAAAACAAAA